rnacentral:misc_RNA from 1 species
GAUGAAGAACGUAGCGAAAUGCGAUACGUAAUGUGAAUUGCAAAUUCAGUGAAUCAUCGAGUCUUUGAACGCACAUUGCGCCCCCUGGUAUUCCGGGGGGCAUGCCUGUCCGAGCGUCAUUGCUGCCCUCAAGCACGGCUUGUGUGUUGGGCCCCGUCCUCCGAUCCCGGGGGACGGGCCCGAAAGGCAGCGGCGGCACCGCGUCCGGUCCUCGAGCGUAUGGGGCUUUGUCACCCGCUCUGUAGGCCCGGCCGGCGCUUGACGAUCAACCCAAAUUUUUAUCCAGGUUGACCUCGGAUCAGGUAGGGAUACCCGCUGAACUUAAGCAUAUCAAUAAGCGGAGGA